rnacentral:misc_RNA from 1 species
AGGUCUCCCAGGCUCCAAAACAGAGCUCAGAUCCUGGAACCUGUCAUUUAACUUCUCCCUCCUCAACUUCUCACGGCAAGCUUUGGUCACUGGCUUGCUGCAAGAAUCACUGCAUCCCCUCUUUCGUGAGCAUUGUUUUUCUUGCGAUGCAGCACCACCAGAUGAAAAAGCAAUAUCCAGACCAACACUGUGAUUAUUAGGCCACAAUAAAUCAGAAGACGUCGUGGUUUCCUCGAUAAAGUUAUAAUCAAGAAAAUCCCAGCAACAAUCGCCCUCUAAUGAAUCCAUGUCUUAUAGAAGGGAUUAGGGAUUUGGAUUUUU